rnacentral:tRNA from 1 species
GGGGCUGUAGCUCAGCUGGUAGAGCGCCUGCUUUGCAAGCAGGAUGUCAGGAGUUCGAGUCUCCUCAGCUCCACCA